CAGCCGCCGCGGUAAUACCGGCGGCCCGAGUGGCGGUCACUCUUUUUGGGCUUAAAGCGUCCGUAGCCGGGUUGGGAAGUCCUCCGGGAAAUCUGGCCGCUUAACGGUCAGAAUGCCGGAGGAUACUCCCAGCCUAGGGAGCGGGAGAGGCCGAGGGGAUUCCCGGGGUAGGGGUGAAAUCCUAUAAUCCCGGGAGGACCACCUGUGGCGAAGGCGCUCGGCUGGACGCGUCCGACGGUGAGGGACGAAGGCCAGGGGAGCAAACCGGAUUAGAUACCCGGGUAGUCCUGGCUGUAAACGAUGCGGACUUUGUGUCGGACAAGCUAUGAGCUUGUCCGGUGCCGGAGGGAAACCGUUAAGUCCGCCGCCUGGGGAGUACGGCCGCAAGGCUGAAACUUAAAGGAAUUGGCGGG
rnacentral:rRNA from 1 species